rnacentral:rRNA from 1 species
UACAUGGGGUGCAAACGUUGCUCGGAAUUAUUGGGCGUAAAGCGCACGUAGGCGGUUUGUUAAGUCGGAUGUGAAAUCCCUCGGCUCAACUGAGGAAGUGCAUCCGAAACUGGCAAGCUUGAGUACGAAAGAGGGUCGCGGAAUUCCCGGUGUAGAGGUGAAAUUCGUAGAUAUCGGGAGGAACACCGGUGGCGAAGGCGGCGACCUGGGUCGAUACUGACGCUGAGAUGCGGAAGCGUGGGGAGCAAACAGG